rnacentral:tRNA from 1 species
GCUCGAUCUGGUCGACGGCCGGCACGACGCCGGUCUCGUCGAUGAGCCGCUGCAGGUGCGGUGCGAGGAAGUUCGAGACGCCGAUCGAGCG